rnacentral:rRNA from 1 species
GUGGGGAAUAUUGGACAAUGGGCGAAAGCCUGAUCCAGCAAUGCCGCGUGAGUGAUGAAGGCCCUAGGGUUGUAAAGCUCUUUUACCAGGGAUGAUAAUGACAGUACCUGGAGAAUAAGCUCCGGCUAACUCCGUGCCAGCAGCCGCGGUAAUACGGAGGGAGCUAGCGUUGUUCGGAAUUACUGGGCGUAAAGCGCGCGUAGGCGGUUUUUUAAGUCAGAGGUGAAAGCCCGGGGCUCAACCCCGGAAUUGCCUUUGAAACUGGAAAACUUGAAUCUUGGAGAGGUCAGUGGAAUUCCGAGUGUAGAGGUGAAAUUCGUAGAUAUUCGGAAGAACACCAGUGGCGAAGGCGACUGACUGGACAAGUAUUGACGCUGAGGUGCGAAAGCGUGGGGAGCAAACAGGAUUAGAAACCCCUGUAGUCC